rnacentral:tRNA from 2 species
GCACCUCUAGCUCAAUGGUAGAGCAUCUGACUCUUAAUCAGCAGGUUCCGGGUUCGAGUCCCGGGGGGUGCACCA